rnacentral:rRNA from 1 species
CAGUCGCCGGGGAAUACGUAGGGUGCAAGCGUUAAUCGGAAUUACUGGGCGUAAAGCGUGCGCAGGCGGUUUGUUAAGACAGAUGUGAAAUCCCCGGGCUCAACCUGGGAAUGGCAAUGGAUACUGGCAAGCUAGAGUGUGUCAGAGGAUGGUGGAAUUCCACGUGUAGCAGUGAAAUGCGUAGAGAUGUGGAGGAACACCGAUGGCGAAGGCAGCCCCCUGGGCCAAUACUGACGCUCAUGCACGAAAGCGUGGGGAGCAAACAGGAUUAGAGACCCGAGUAGUCCCUGUCUCUUAUACA